rnacentral:lncRNA from 1 species
UUUAUUUUGUUCAGUGUUUCAUAUAUUGGUGUGUCUUGUAUCUUUGGGAUGAGUUGGCAGUCAAGUACAAUGUUACAAGAGGCCAUUAGAACAUUCCAGAAGCCCAGCUGCCAGUGCCUUUUUAUCACCCCCAAAUUGCCUUGUAUUCUUUGUAUAUGUUUUGUAGAUGUUUGUAUGUAACUUUUCUGUCUCUUCUAAUAGGAUGAAAACUUUACAAAGGCAGGGAUUGUUUCAUCUUUGUGUACAUUCACCUUCUAGCACAGUGUGGCUCAGAGGAGAUGCUCAAUAUAUGUUCGUUAAUCAGUUGAUUGAAAACCUGAGCUAUCCUUUUAAUAGGAAGAAGAAAAGGCGGAAUGAAGAAGGAAAGGGAGAAAGAUGGAGGAGAGGAGGAAGUAGCUUUCUCAGAUAGAGCUUCCCACUGUCCCCUGCCCCCACAUGAUGUUUCCCACUACGCCCACUUAUCUAAACUCAGGAUCUAACUGCACCACAAUCUGUACAGGAUCUUUAUCUGUCCCCUGCUGAGGGUAAGUUUUCCCCAGAGCUUUCCUCUACUCACAGAGAAAAGCAGUUUUCUAUGCGGUCAUUGCAUCAUAAAUAGCUUCCUUUCCUUUUGUGAGUCCCCCCACCUCUGCAGGGAUGGGCAGGGGAAACCCCAUGUGCUGGAUAUAAAUACCAAAGCCUGGGGAGAUGGGGAGCCAGCAGAACUUGAAGGUGCAUCAUCUUGAGAAGCCACAGCUCACUCCAAGAUGCAGCACAUCUCCAUGGUCCUGCUAUGUCUGCUGCUUGUGACAUUGGGACCUCAAGAUAGCUUCAGCAGUAGUUUGGUUGAUUCGAAGCCUACCUGCUGCUUUGUCUUUCUGAAGAGGAGCCUUCCACACCAUCUCAUCAAAAACUAUGGUAUCACUAGCCGUUCCUGCCCCUACAAGGCUGUAAUGUUUACUCUGAAGAAAGGCAAAAUAUACUGUGCACAUCUCGAAGACAAAUGGGUUCAGGAUUACUUGAAGAAAAUGAAGAAAAUGAACAGUAGUGGCUCAAUUUAAAGCCAAAUUUGAGGGCCACCUCCAAUCAGAAAACUAUCCCGAUUCUACCAGUUGCUACUGUACUCCUCCUUCCUUUGUAUAUAUUGUAUGUUUAAUUGUCUAUGUCUAUGUUGUGUCCCUAGUUAGAGUGUAAGUUCCUUGAAGACAAGGAAGGCUUCCCCUCCCCCCACCCUUUUUGUCUUGUAUUCCCAGGACCAAGCACACUGCCUGACCCAUAGCAGACAACUGACAAAUGUUUGUUGAAUUGAAUUGAAAGCGGAUAUCCAACAAAGAGUGAAGACAAUCUGGGCAGCCUAGAGCCCUGUUCAUCCAGUAUUCCUUUACUGACAAUUUUGCUAGGCUCUGAAGCUUGAACUAGGUCUCGAUAAGCUAUUGUUAUGUCUUAUUUAUUGAUAGGUCUAAAACCUUUGAUUUCUGUAACCCAUCUAUUUCUUGGACUCUACUUGGAAAUAGAGGCAUAGCCUCAGUUGGCCUCAAACUGAGCAUCAUAAGGCAACAUAGCUGUGUUUGACUUGGAAUAAAUAUAACUUAUCUAAAUUAAGACA